UUUAUAGAACAAUCUACAAACAUCUGCUGACCAUCAGUAUGUGUCAGCUGACCACUAACCUUUGUUCCUCUUCUGUAAAUUUCACCUGUUAACUUCCCCUGCAACCCCCUAUAAAAGAGCCUCGGACUCUGGGCUAGUCGCCUCUCUAAGCUACUUUGCUUUGGGAGUGCCGUCUGGCCAGACUAAGGUCUGUUUUACUUUCCAACUUGUCCGGUGUGUUCCUUCCCGGGUGUUCUUCGCUGUAGUCAGCUCCACGGAGUGUUUGGUAAGGCCCUCGGUCUUACAUUUUGGAGGCCCCAGUGAGAUCCCCGGGUAAGGAACCCUGGUUCAGCCAAGACUCUGUGGCGGGAUCCAGCAGGAGACUCUCAGGCACAGACCUCAGAAAACCUCCAGAGGUAAGUUUUUGGCCGGUUGCAACCGUUUGUUGUCAGGAGUGAGGUGGCUGACGGGCCGGUAAGCCUCCCCUGACUCCAAGGUUCCCGAUGAGGAACAAGGGAAGAUUUAGUUUUGCUUUUGUUGUGGCACCUGUUCGUCUUGUCAUUCGUACGUUAGUGUCCUGUCCGUUGUGUGUUUAAUUUUGUAUUUCUUUCCAAACCAUCAGGGCAGAGAUGGGAGGAUCCUGCUCCAAAAAUACCCCAUUGGAUUGUUUUCUCACUAAUUUUAAAUUGGCUUUUUCCCCCCGAACAGGAGGAUGAAUAUGGGGUUAAAUUUUCUUGUGGAAAACUUCGCUCCCUGUGUCAAUUGGAAUGGCCGGCCUUUGGAGUUGGAUGGCCAGCUGAGGGCUCUUUUGACCCAAGCCUCUGCUGGGCAGUAUGGAAAAGGGUCACCGGGCACCCUAGCCAUCCUGAUCAGUUUCCAUAUAUAAAUAUCUGGGUUCAGGCUUGUCAAGAGCCUCCAUCUUGGUUGCAGCAUUGUUUCUUGUGAACAAACUCUCGCAUUUUGGUUAUGGCCCCAAGGGAACCCCAAGAGGUCAAAGCCCAGGCUCCCAAGCCAGUGCUCUCACAAGAUCCUGAUCCCUUAGACCCCUUUAUAAGACCUCCACCCUGUGUGGAGCCAUCCUCCUCCUCUGAUAAAACCGGCCCCAGAUCUCAAACCCUUUCUACCCUCCUCUUCCUGAAGAAGAAAAAUCUCCAGAUUCUAUAACCUCCCCCUCCCACAUGUGAACAGGGGCCUCUUAUGGUCCCAGAGGGGCUCCCACUGAAGGGACUAGUUCAGUUCCUCUUCUGCUUCUUCAGGAAAUAGAGCAGGGUCAUUAUGUCUAUAUCCCUUUCUCUACCAGUGAUUUGUAUAAUUGGAAACAUCAAAAUCCCCCUUUUUCAGAAAAACCUCAAGCUUUGAUCUCCCUCCUAGAAUCUGUUUUUCAUACCCAUGACCCAACCUGGGAUGAUUGUCAACAACUCCUCCAAGCCCUUUUUACCUCUGAGGAAAGAGAAAGGAUCUGAGGGCAAGCCAAAAAGUCGGUGUUAGGAGGAACGGAGGGCCCACUCGAUGAACAACAGCAGGCCCAUAUUAAGGUGCAACUUCCGUCCACCUGUCCCCCAUGGCAAGCUAAUUCCUCGGGCAGGAGAGAAGCUCUCCAAAACUACCGUCAGCAUCUCCUAGCUGGCUUGAGGGGAGCCGCUCGAAAGCCUACCAAUUUGAGCAAGCCUGCCUCUAGCACCAGUGAGCCAGCCCCUCUUUGCCUUCAAAUGGACUGACCCAGACACCGGGACUACCAGACAGCUGACAUGGCCCUGGCUGCCGCAGGGAUUCAAAACUCCCCCACUCUGUUCGGGAAGCUCUCAGCAAAGAUUUACAAGAGGUAAGAAAAGUGUUUCCCCAGGCGACUAUUCUUCAGUAUGUGGAUGACCUCCUGGUGGCGACUUCAACCGAUAAAGAAUGCAUUGCAGCCACUGAGGGCCUCCUGAAAGCCCUCCAGGACCUGGGAUAUCGGGUGUCUUGGAAGAAAGCUCAGCUCUGCUG
rnacentral:lncRNA from 1 species